CCAGCAACCAUGGAGGAAGGAGUGCUCUCAUGGAAGGGAUAGAGUAUUUCCUGGACCCAGAGUAAUUAACAGUGGUGCUGAACUACAUGAAUUACAAAAAUGGAAUGACCAAACUGCGAAUUAAGUGUGAAAUUCACCCUCCCAGCAAAGAGUUCAAACAAGCUUUGAGCAGAACUCUGCACAGGAAUUUGUUGGGUGAAGGCAACCAGUAUCUCUGCUCUGUGUGCAGUGCUCUUGCGGAGGGACACUCCUGAGUGUGCCCUGUGCAUCUGCUUCUGGUUCUACAGGUUGAACCUGGAAACAUAACAUCAAUCUGCUUUGGGGCUGUCCCCUCAUGACUUCUCCUGAAACCUCAUUGUAUAAUAUGCACAAGAGCAACGGGGUUGCCUUCAGUGUGUCCUGCUUUGAGGCACUCAAGCAGGAGCAGGUCGUCAGGGGAUGUAGUUAAUGUGUAUAAAUAAACUGGGAGCAAUAAGCUCUGUAGGCAUGCUGUUUGAACGUGUGCCUGACAGCAAUAAACUGUGGAGCAAUAACAGAGUUAUAUAAAUCUCUGAUCACUUCCAGUCCCCCCCUUAAUAAAAUGUUUUUUGUUUUUCAAUGACCAAACAAAUGUUUUUCAGUUUGACUGAAAAGUACUUAUUCAUUACUUUUACACACACACACACACACACACACACAUGUAUAUACAUAAGAAAAAGUGCACAAAUGUGUUUUGACCAGUUCAAGUAAUAGACUUCUAGGUAUGCUGUUGUAUUCCUAUGAAAGAAAUCUUUGAAUUAAAUCUUCCCCCACAAUAUGAUUUCUAUACUUAAACUCUGCAUACACUGUAAUCCCAAUUAGUAGUUUUGGGUGUCAGUUUAGCUGUACUGAGGGCAAAUUUCCAUGGACUUAUAUCAGAGUUAAGUUAGUUGAGGAGUCUGUCUAGUAUUUCAGAGAAACAGACCCACAUUCUAACUUCAUUUGUGGAGUGGAUCA